rnacentral:rRNA from 1 species
UACGUAGGGGGCAAGCGUUGUCCGGAAUCAUUGGGCGUAAAGAGCGUGUAGGCGGCUCGAUAAGUCCGCUCUGAAAGCCCGGGGCUCAACCCCGGGAGGCGGGCGGAUACUGUCGAGCUAGAGUCCGGAAGAGGCGAGUGGAAUUCCUGGUGUAGCGGUGAAAUGCGCAGAUAUCAGGAGGAACACCGGUGGUGAAGGCGGGUCUCUGGGCCGACACUGACGCUGAGGAGCGAAAGCGUGGGGAGCGAACAGG